AAGCCUAUGAAAUGAUUUUCAAGUUUUAAAUUCAAAUAAUAAUAAACUAGGUACUUUUUUAUUGAUUCCAACAUUAUUUCAGUGGAAGCACAAAUGUCCCCCAUAAAGAAAUCAUUAAUCCGUCCCAGAAAUAUGGACUGUUUUAAUGUUAACAAUAAAUAUUGUCUAUAUCAAUAACUUUGAAAUUCCCGGGGUGAUACAUGCUUGUGUGCUACUGCGCUUGAGCGACAGCCAUUAAAGAUCUCCUGUCUCCUUCAGUUUUCAGUAGUUGAAGGGUUGAAGGUGAAGUUGGUUCGUUGUUUGUUUAUCCUUUAUUUUAUCGUGUCAUCAAGUUGAUGAUGAUUUUUGAUUGCUGAAGGUCUUAAAUUAAGAUGAAGGUGGGAAUAGAACUGCAGAUACAUAUUAUACUAAAAUCCACCAUGACAGAUGAAUAUGAUGCCAAGGAUUAGAUUUGAAAAAAGUUCUUCUCCUCUCUACAUUUGAUGAAAGCCAUUUUCAGCAAAGGUGGGAAUAGAACUGCAGACGCAUAUACAAAAAUCCACCAUGACAGACGAAUAUGCUACCAACUACAGUUUUAGAUUUAAAACUCCUUUCUACAUCUGAUGGAAACCAUUUCCAGACCAAGAGCAGAGAGACUACGCCUCAUGAAGCUCAAAUCGAGGACGAUAGCAGUUCAAAGUAAAAAUAUAUAAUUAGUUAUAAAUUGCAAGUUCAAUUUUUGUAAU